CGGAGCACGCCGCGUGAGUGAUGAAGGUUUUCGGAUCGUAAAACUCUGUUGUUAGGGAAGAACAAGUACCGUUCGAAUAGGGCGGUACCUUGACGGUACCUAACCAGAAAGCCACGGCUAACUACGUGCCAGCAGCCGCGGUAAUACGUAGGUGGCAAGCGUUGUCCGGAAUUAUUGGGCGUAAAGCGCGCGCAGGCGGUUUCUUAAGUCUGAUGUGAAAGCCCCCGGCUCAACCGGGGAGGGUCAUUGGAAACUGGGGAACUUGAGUGCAGAAGAGGAGAGUGGAAUUCCACGUGUAGCGGUGAAAUGCGUAGAGAUGUGGAGGAACACCAGUGGCGAAGGCGACUCUCUGGUCUGUAACUGACGCUGAGGCGCGAAAGCGUGGGGAGC
rnacentral:rRNA from 1 species